CAAUAGCGUAUAUUAAAGUUGUUGCAGUUAAAAAGCUCGUAGUUGGAUUUCUGAUCGAGACAUCAGGUCGGGUCCGAGAGGAUCAUGUACUUUGAUUUUGUUUUGAUCAUCCUUGGGGAGAGCAUUUCUGGCAUUCAGUUGUCGGGAUUGGGAUCCUCAUCGUUUACUGUGAAAAAAUUAGAGUGUUCAAAGCAGGCCUCGGCCUCUGAAUACAUUAGCAUGGAAUAAUAAGAUAGGACUUUGGUGGUCUAUUUUGUUGGUUUGCACGCCAAAGUAAUGAUUAAUAGGGAUAGUUGGGGGUAUUCGUAUUCAAUUGUCAGAGGUGAAAUUCUUGGAUUUAUGGAAGACGAACUACUGCGAAAGCAUUUACCAAGGAUGUUUCCAUUAA
rnacentral:rRNA from 1 species